CUGAGAAAGACAUGCGUCUGAAAGAAGGUGAUGGGGCUACAUUUUUCGAGAAUUCCGAUUUUGAGGGUCUGCAACGGCUAAAGCUGUGAAAAACCUUGUUUUCAGCCGAACAGCAGUAGGGUUUCCAUGUAGUUUUUGAUGUCUAGGCUAGAGAUUCAACUAAUACUCUCACCUAGAUUUGUUUCUUACAUGUCUAGGCUAGAGAUACAAGUAUUAUCAAGUGUAACUUUGAGGACCGAAGGAGUAGCCCCAUAUGGUAUGGUGGAUUGGUGGGGUGAAUUGGGAGCUUUCACCCGGUGGUGAACACCACAUUGCUAGUGCACUCAAAGCGAUGUAAGGAACCACGCCAUGAGAUUUUAUUGCAUUUUCUCUCGUUCUUUUCUCUUCUUCAACGGCUAUAGAUUUAAUUAAAAAAACAUUUUACCAUUUUAUAAAUACCAACCAUUUUACCAUUUUGUCUAGAAUUCGGGCAAAAUUUGAUAUGAUGUAGUAUUUUAAUUAUUGUUAUAUUUUAAUGAUGGUUUCUUAUUUUGGUUAUGUAAUUUUUAUUUUCGAGCAAUGAAAUAUUUUUUAUUAA